rnacentral:rRNA from 1 species
ACGAACGCUGGCGGCGUGCCUAAUACAUGCAAGUUGAGCGCUGAAGGUUGGUACUUGUACCAACUGGAUGAGCAGCGAACGAGUGAGUAACGCGUGGGGAAUCUGCCUUUGAGCGGGGGACAACAUUUGGAAACGAAUGCUAAUACCGCAUAAAAACUUUAAACACAAGUUUUAAGUUUGAAAGAUGCAAUUGCAUCACUCAAAGAUGAUCCCGCGUUGUAUUAGCUAGUUGGUGAGGUAAAGGCUCACCAAGGCGAUGAUACAUAGCCGACCUGAGAGGGUGAUCGGCCACAUUGGGACUGAGACACGGCCCAAACUCCUACGGGAGGCAGCAGUAGGGAAUCUUCGGCAAUGGACGAAAGUCUGACCGAGCAACGCCGCGUGAGUGAAGAAGGUUUUCGGAUCGUAAAACUCUGUUGGUAGAGAAGAACGUUGGUGAGAGUGGAAAGCUCAUCAAGUGACGGUAACUACCCAGAAAGGGACGGCUAACUACGUG